rnacentral:rRNA from 1 species
UACGUAGGGGGCAAGCGUUGUCCGGAAUCAUUGGGCGUAAAGCGCGUGUAGGCGGUCCGGUAAGUCCGCUGUGAAAGUCGGGGGCUCAACCCUCGGAUGCCGGUGGAUACUGUCGGGCUUGAGUACGGAAGAGGCGAGUGGAAUUCCUGGUGUAGCGGUGAAAUGCGCAGAUAUCAGGAGGAACACCAAUGCGAAGGCAGCUCGCUGGGACGUUACUGA